GGCGGCGUGCCUAAUACAUGCAAGUCGAGCGCAGGAAGCCAUCCGAACCCUUCGGGGGGACGUUGACGGAAUGAGCGGCGGACGGGUGAGUAACACGUAAAGAACCUGCCCUCAGGUCUGGGAUAACCACGAGAAAUCGGGGCUAAUACCGGAUGGGUCAUCGGACCGCAUGGUCCGAGGAUGAAAGGCGCUUCGGCGUCGCCUGGGGAUGGCUUUGCGGUGCAUUAGCUAGUUGGUGGGGUAACGGCCCACCAAGGCGACGAUGCAUAGCCGACCUGAGAGGGUGAUCGGCCACACUGGGACUGAGACACGGCCCAGACUCCUACGGGAGGCAGCAGUAGGGAAUCUUCCACAAUGGACGAAAGUCUGAUGGAGCAAACGCCGCGUGAAACGACGAAGGGCCCCUCGGGUUCGUAAAAGUUUCUGUUGUAAAGGGA
rnacentral:rRNA from 1 species